rnacentral:misc_RNA from 1 species
GCAAACUUGGUCAUUUAGAGGAAGUAAAAGUCGUAACAAGGUUUCCGUAGGUGAGUGAACAAUCGACUCUUUAUUUCGUGGUCUGAACUGUGCUAAUGUGAGUAGGUGAACCUGCGGAAGGAUCAUUAUCGAGUUGUUCCAACUCCCACCACUUGUGUACCUGAACCGUUGCUUUGGCGGACCGGCUCUGCCCCCCGGCAGCCGCUGGGGCGUGCCCGUCAGAGACCCAAACUCGACAAACUUGAAAAUCUGAGAGCUCAAAAACAAAACUUUCAACAACGGAUCUCUUGGUUCUGGCAUCGAUGAAGAACGCAGC